rnacentral:rRNA from 1 species
AUACGGAGGGUGCAAGCGUUACUCGGGAUCAUUGGGCGUAAAGCGCACGUAGGCGGCCUGAUAAGUCGGAUGUGAAAGCCCUCGGCUCAACCGAGGAAGUGCAUUCGAAACUGUCAGGCUUGAGUAUGGGAGAGGGUUGCGGAAUUCCCGGUGUAGAGGUGAAAUUCGUAGAUAUCGGGAGGAACACCAGUGGCGAAGGCGGCAGCCUGGACCAAUACUGACGCUGAGGUGCGAAAGCGUGGGGAGCAAACAGGAUUAGAAACCCUAGUAGUCC